rnacentral:rRNA from 1 species
GGAGGAACACCGGUGGCGAAGGCGGCUAUCUGGAUGAGUAUUGACGCUGAGGCGCGAAAGCGUGGGGAUCAAACAGGAUUAGAUACCCUGGUAGUCCACGCUGUAAACGAUGAGUGCUAGUUGUUGGGAGGGAUACCUCUCAGUGACGUCGCUAACGCUUUAAGCACUCCGCCUGGGGAGUACGGUCGCAAGAUUAAAACUCAAAGAAAUUGACGGGGACCCGCACAAGCGGUGGAGCAUGUGGUUUAAUUCGAGGCAACGCGAAGAACCUUACCAGGCCUUGACAUGUCCAGUUUGAGCACCAGAGAUGGAGCUCUUCACUUCGGGUGGCUGGAACACAGGUGCUGCAUGGCUGUCGUCAGCUCGUGUCGUGAGAUGUUGGGUUAAGUCCCGCAACGAGCGCAACCCUCGUCCUUAGUUGCCAUCAUUAAGUUGGGAACUCUAAGGAAACUGCCGGUGAUAAGCCGGAGGAAGGUGGGGACGACGUCAAGUCAUCAUGGCCCUUACGGCCUGGGCUACACACGUGCUACAAUGGCGGUGACAAUGGGCUGCGAACCUGCAAGGGGGAGCGAAUCUCAAAAAACCGUCUCAGUUCGGAUUGUCCUCUGCAACUCGAGGGCAUGAAGUUGGAAUCGCUAGUAAUCGUAGAUCAGCAUGCUACGGUGAAUACGUUCCCGGGUCUUGUACACACCGCCCGUCACACCAUGGGAAUCGCUUCUGCCUUAAGCCGGUGAGCCAACUUUGGAGGCAGCCGUCCACGGCAGGGGUGGUGACUGGGGUGAAGUCGUAACAAGGUAACC